UACGUAGGGUGCAAGCGUUGUCCGGAAUUAUUGGGCGUAAAGAGCUCGUAGGCGGUUUGUCGCGUCUGCUGUGAAAACUCGGGGCUUAACCCCGGGCCUGCAGUGGGUACGGGCAGACUAGAGUGCGGUAGGGGAGACUGGAGUUCCUGGUGUAGCGGUGAAAUGCGCAGAUAUCAGGAGGAACACCGGUGGCGAAGGCGGGUCUCUGGGCCGUAACUGACGCUGAGGAGCGAAGGUCAGGGGAGCAAACGGG
rnacentral:rRNA from 1 species